rnacentral:rRNA from 1 species
CAGACGGGUGGCAGCAGGGAGGAAUAGGGGGCAAGGGACGCAAGUCUGAACCAGCCAUGCCGCGUGCAGGAAGACGGCUCUAUGAGUUGUAAACUGCUUUUGCACGAGGGUAAACGCAGAUACGCGUAUCUGUCUGAAAGGAUCGUACGAAUAAGGAUCGGCGAACUCCGUGCCAGCAGCCGCGGUAAGACGGAGGAUUCAAGCGUUACCCGGAUUUAUUGGGUUUAAAGGGUGCGUAGGCGGUAGGUUAAGUGAGAGGUGAAAUCCCGAGGCUCAACUUCGGAAUUGCCUCUGAUACUGUUCGGCUAGAGAGUAGUUGCGGUAGGCGGAAUGUAAGGUGUAGCGGUGAAAUGCUUAGAGAUCAUACGGAACACCAAUUGCGAAGGCAGCUUACCGGGCUACUUCUGACGUUGAGGCACGAAAGCGUGGGGAGCAAACAGGAUUAGAUACCCCAGUAGUC